GGGGUGGGGAGGGGCUGGGAUGGAAUUCCCAGAGCAGCUGUGGCUGCCCUUGGAUCCCUGGAAGUGUUGCAGGCCAGGUUGGAGCAGCCUGGGAUAGGGAAAGGUAUCCCUGGAUGGGAUUUAAGGUCCCUUCCCUCCAAACCUGGCAUUCUGGGAGGUUCUCCAGCCCUGGCUCUGAAUGAAAAGGGAUUUUUGGGUGGAGUGUGGCAUUUUAGGGAGGAUGGCCUUUCCCUCCAACCUCGGUCACCAAACCCCUCUACUGCUGGAUUUCCUCUCCAGCCCCUUCCCUGGGGAUAUCCCAGCUCUUCCCCACCCCACAACGAGCCUCUCCGAGCUCGCUCCGUAGAUAAUUCCAUUUAUUUCCUGUAUUUACACAAAAUUACACACCCAGCACCUUCACCCCCAGACCCCCCAAUCCAACAGCAGGGCUGGGAGCAGCUUCCAGAUGCAGCCUUUCCCUCCUGGCAUGGAUGGAGGGAUGGAUGGAGCCACUGGUGCUGGGACUCCCUCACACCCCAGCUCCAUCCUGGGGGCUCCCCCUGGCCCCGGGGCAGGUCCGGGUGGGAUCUGUGCUCUCCUCCUCCCACGGACACACCUCGGAGCUUUUCCUCGUGUCCCAGCUGGGCUUGGCGGACGCUGAUGGAGCUUCCCAAGGACAAACCUGAGCCAGGCUCGUGCCAGGGCUGGAGCUGCUGCCCACCCCUGGCUGCCGGGUGCCAGGCAGGAGCCGGCACAGGGGCUUGUGCUCGGCUUCCCCGUGGGAUCUGCCCCUGGAUUUUUCCAGAACUGUUGGAGCCACAGCGCUGGCUCCCGGUUUUCCCAUCCCUGUGGAGGAAGCUCCGUGGGCUCCCUGUGGCUGCACACCUGGCUGGGAGCUCCCCUCCUCCGACCCCAUGGGCUCUGCUGCUUCCCAGGGGCAAAUUUCAGAUUUCCUGCUCUCCGUGCUGUCGGAUUUCUUGGAUGGCUCCUUCUCCACUGCAGCUUUCAGGGAGAGCUCCCCCAUGUCCGGGCUCUCCCAAGGACAGACGGACUCUCGCUCUCUGCUGCCCUUCUCCACAGCUUUGGUCACUCCUUUUCCUGGGAGUCUCACCUUACCUGGGGCUGCUCCUUUUUCCAGCUGGGGUUCAGCCACUUCCCAGGGGCAGAUUUCAGCUUUGUCACUGGAUUGGAGAUCCUGAGACUCCCAGGGACAGAUCUCGGCUUUCAGGCUCUCUGAGCUCUGGGAUUUCCCCGGAGCUGCUUUGGGCAGUGCUGAGCUCCCAGUGGGGGCUUUGG
rnacentral:lncRNA from 13 species